CACACACACACACACACACACGCAUACUUUUGAACAGCUGGUGCUGGGCUGGCUGGCUACAUACAGCCAGGGGACAGAUAGCUGGCUGAGAGAGGGAAUGGGAGCACGUUGCUCAAUCAAUGAGCCAUCAAUCACACACUUACACACACACACGAACACAAAUGCAUACACACAGCAAGAAGGAGCAAAGACAUGAAACAGGAGACCAUAUCCUUUAACUACCACUCAAAAGAAAGCCAUCAAAGCGCUGGCUCUGGCUCCAGGCCUUUUUCCAUGGCCAAAUUUCCAGUCACUGCUUUGUCUUGUGGUGGUUUCAUUAGAGCUACUACUAGACUCCUCUGUGUGUGUGUGUGUGUGUGUGUGUGUGUGUGUUGCACCACAGCAGUUAUCUGCUAUCUAACUAGCUCACUGCUGCGGGGUUUCUUUUCUGCACUCUGCUGAGCUCCCAGACAGCAAGAGGUUGUGAAAAGGCUGGCAAGGAGGCGGCAGCAAUCAUAUACGUCUCCCCUGCGCUGCCCCUGGAGCCCCCAGCAGAAGACGGUACGAGCAAGGAAAGGUCGAGGCCACGAGAUGAACGGUCCCACCUCUUGCUGGAAUGAGCCUUAAUUUGAUAGGGGUUGGGCUGAGCCAGGACUGUGGUAAGACAUGCACAUGUGCCACACAGAAAGAAGCAUGUGUUAAGUCACUGGAAUGUACACACAUAUCGGAGACACAAUGAGGAAGGUCAUUCUUAGGAUGCAAUUUGAAAAAAACAAAAAACAAAACAAAGAAUCAGCCAUAUGCUUAAGUCGUUGCUGCACGUCUGCCGUUUCUGCAUCUCACAUCAAAAUGAGGACACCGGACGUAAGACCUGCUGCAAAACGACACUGUGCCGUGGUUACAUAAUCUUUGCACUAGUAAUGUAGCUGUUACUGUGCCCUGUAUCUCAUAAAAGCAGCAAAUUUAGUUGUUCUGCUUUAACCAGAAUACAGUGUUCCCCCUCCUAAGCCCACACGUUUCAGCCCACCCAUCCUCUUCUUGCCUAUCAGUCCUGGCCUUAUUCCAUUCAAACUUUUCACAGAUGGGAACAGAAUUGUGUUGAUGUGCAUUCCAUAUUCAGUGUACAUGCAUCAGUCACACCACAGACCAGGGCGUCAGAGGGUCAGAGGUGGAAAUGACAGACCUGGGCUCUUUAUACAUGCAAGGAUACGUGAAUAUAAGAUCCCAUAUCUGAGCUGGCAGUGCAAAACAGGGCAGCAGUAAUCAAAUGAACUAACAUCCAGGCUGUGUUGCAUGGUGUGGUUACGGUUGCCUGGCUAUUUAUAUGUGUCCCUCCUUCAGAGAAGGAAGUCGCUCCUAUUGGAUCCAGAUGUGAGCGGAAGGACAGACAACAGCUCGACUGAAAGUUGCUGUACCCACCCUGGCUCACUCCACCUCCGGACUUGGAAUACCUAGUGAUCAUUUUGGAAAUCCCUCUGUGCCUCACCUGCCUGCCCUCCUGCCAUCACACUCCAUCUGGAGCCCCGGAUCUCAGGUCAGCCUUUCCACGCCACUCAGCCUCCCCUGGAUCUUCAUCAUCCCCCUCUCAAACACUCCAGGUCCCUAACUGCAAUGUGACUGUUCCCCACUCAGCUCCGUUCCACUUCUCAGGCCUCGUUCCCUCGCCCUAGCCACGUUCCCCUGGGCACGCCACACCAAGGCUCCACGUCUCGUCAUUUUCUGUCUUUGCCACGUUUCCCUUUUUUUUGUUCCCCUUGCACUUAACCGUAAUAAACUAUUAAAUCAUCUACUGUCUCCGCUCUGGGUUUCUGCACCUGAGUCCUAUUCAGUACCGGCCAUCCGUCGCCGUGACAACUUGUACAUGUAGGAGGCAAUCUGCUGCACAUGCAUUCUCACUAUUACACAGAACAUCUAUAGAGUACAAAUACUAUGCUUGGUUUGGGUGAAGGUGCUGCCCGGGUUCAGGGUGCACACAUAAUGCCCACUGAACAAGUUCUCUAUUCUCCAGACAGUUACUUUCGCUAUUCUACAUGGGUCCACACAGACUCUGUAGUAGGAUGCUGUCAGUUUAGAGACUCUUUAAUUGUAUUCUUAGAACAUCUCCACCAGAGAUUUUAAAACACAGGUGUCG